UGCAUCUUCCAUCAUCUCAUUUUUUCUAAUUUGUUCCUUCGAGCACUUACCCCUCUUAUCUUGUACGAAUAAAUUUUCCACCUUAU
rnacentral:tRNA from 1 species